GAUGAACGCUGGCGGCGUGCCUAAUACAUGCAAGUCGAGCGAACGGACGAGAAGCUUGCUUUUCUGAUGUUAGCGGCGGACGGGUGAGUAACACGUGGAUAACCUACCUAUAAGACUGGGAUAACUUCGGGAAACCGGCGCUAAUACCGGAUAAUAUUUUGAACCGCAUGGUUCAAAAGUGAAAGACGGUCUUGCUGUCACUUAUAGAUGGAUCCGCGCUGCAUUAGCUAGUUGGUAAGGUAACGGCUUACCAAGGCAACGAUGCAUAGCCGACCUGAGAGGGGGGUCGGCGACACUAGAAGGUGGACACCGUCACGAGUACUAAGGGAGGGCGCAGUAGGGUAUGUUACGCAAUAGGCGGAAACAUGACAGAGGAACCGCGAGGCAGAGGUAGAAGUGUUGGGAUCGGAAAAACCUGUUUUUAGGGGAAAACAUAUGUGGAAGGUAACGAGGCGAUAUUGACGGUAACUAAUCAGAAAGCCACGGCUAACUACGUG
rnacentral:rRNA from 1 species